AGUGAACGCUGGCGGUAGGCCUAACACAUGCAAGUCGAACGGCAGCACAGUAAGAGCUUGCUCUUACGGGUGGCGAGUGGCGGACGGUUGAGGAAUACAUCGGAAUCUACUUUUUCGUGGGGGAUAACGUAGGGAAACUUACGCUAUUACCGCAUACGACCUACGGGUGAAAGCAGGGGAUCUUCGGCCCUCGCGCGAUUGAAUGAGCCGAUGUCGGAUUAGCUAGUUGGCGGGGUAAAGGCCCACCAAGGCGACGAUCCGUAGCUGGUCUGAGAGGAUGAUCAGCCACACUGGAACUGAGACACGGUCCAGACUCCUACGGGAGGCAGCAGUGGGGAAUAUUGGACAAUGGGCGCAAGCCUGAUCCAGCCAUACCGCGUGGGUGAAGAAGGCCUUCGGGUUGUAAAGCCCUUUUGUUGGGAAAGAAAAGCAGCAGGUUAAUACCCCGCUGUUCUGACGGUACCCAAAGAAUAAGCACCGGCUAACUUCGUG
rnacentral:rRNA from 1 species